AUGGCUAGGCACUGGUGGAGUAGUUCAGUUGAUCGCAGGUCUCUGCACUGGAUCGACUGGGACUCACUAACUAAGCCAAAGAUUGCAGGAGGGAUGGGGUUUAGAAACCUGGAAAUGUUCAACUUAGCUCUGCUUGGGAAGCACGGGUGGAUGCUGAUUACGAACCCAAAAUCUCUCUGUGCUCGUGUAUUGAAAGGGAAGUACUUUCCCGCCGGCGAAUUCAUGGAUGCAGCUAUUCCGAAGCAUGCUUCAGCUACGUGGAGGGCAAUAGUGGUGGGAAGGGAAGCCUUACAGAUGGGUUUAAUAAAAAGAGUUGGAGAUGGCACGAGUGUUUCGACAUGGAAUGAUAGCUGGAUACCGGGCCUUCUCACACUUCGGCCUUCAGUGCAGACUAGAGAUGCCAUGAUUCCUCGAGUUGCUGAUUUGAUCAAUGCCGAUCAAGGUACGUGGAACAGCGAACUCGUAAGACAAAAUUUUAUAGCCCCUGAAGCAGAUGCAAUUCUGAAUAUUCCAUUGAGCUUCGAAGGAGGGGAUGAUUCAUGGGCUUGGGCUGCAUAA
rnacentral:rRNA from 1 species